CGAGAGUCAUUCUGUUGGGACAAAAUCACUAGCAAUGGGCCAAGACGAGACAUUGUCGUCGUACCCAAUGCAUAUUCCGCAUCCGAGAGCUCAAGCGAGCGUUCAUGGGCCAACCAACUACAAUCGCAAUUCGAGUUACGUGGGACACAAACGACGCCUCGAGGUUCACCGCGUCAAAAGCCUGUAACUAAACGGGCUGACGCCGUGCGAAUGAUACCCGAUUUGGCGGCAUAAUUCCGUAUAGUAGGAAUGCAACACAGGAAACCGAAGAAAACGAGUAACCAAGGCAAAGUGCUCUUGUACCAUCAAAUGAAGAAGAACGCACGGCCAGCCGUCAC
rnacentral:misc_RNA from 1 species